rnacentral:rRNA from 1 species
UACAGAGGGUGCAAGCGUUGUUCGGAAUUACUGGGCGUAAAGCGCGUGUAGGUGGCGAGAUAAGUCGGGUGUGAAAUCCCUUGGCUUAACCAAGGAAGUGCAUUCGAUACUGUUUCGCUUGAGUAUCGGAGGGGUCGGCGGAAUUCCCGGUGUAGAGGUGAAAUUCGUAGAUAUCGGGAGGAACACCAGUGGCGAAGGCGGCUUUCUGGUCUGCUCUUGACGCUGAGGCGCGAAAGCUAGGGUAGCAAACGGG